UUCGUGUAAGGCAUUAUUCCCCUAUCGUACCUCGUGAUUAUUUUUUUUGUUGUACAAAUUACGAAGAUUUGUAUCAUACCAUGUUUAACAAGUAGUCUUAUAUAAACCAUACUGGUUUUUUUUACUACUGUUUGUUUUUGUGUCGUUUUCCAUUGGUGUCGCCUGGGAUUUUUUCUCAACUUCUUGUUUUGAUAGGUCUCUUGGUAGCUACAACUUCU
rnacentral:lncRNA from 1 species